CACCUCCCAGGAUCACACCUGGAGAGUUUCCAGUACUCUAUCGGUCUCGGCUAUGGGUGGGAGAGUCAAGCAGAGGCAUACCCAUUCCAUUCCUAGCUUGGGCAGUGGCUAAUGAGUGGAAGGCAAUCUGCUACGAGU
rnacentral:snoRNA from 1 species